rfam:Pseudopelagicola gijangensis strain DSM 100564 genome assembly, contig: Ga0131178_106
AUGACCGAUGCAAAAGUACCCGACAUGCAGGCCGGGUGGGAACAAAUGUGUUCAAACGUCAUGGCCGGUCUUUCAGGGCUGAACAUGGUGUAUGAAUCCG